CUUUUCCUUGCUUCUUGUGAAGAGAGAAGUAUUAACAAAGAAGCAAAGAAAGAUAAGUGAUAGAGAGAAGAAACAAAAAGUGGACAAGAGUGGAGGAAGAAAGGUGAUGGAUGAGAUAAGGAGCUUUGAGAAGACAAAUUUGUUCGAUCUUGGCCAUCCUCUUAUCAACCGCAUCGCUGACUCGUUCGUCAAAGCCUCCGGUCGGAGCUUUACAAGCUGUGUCUAGGGAAGCUUACUUCACGGUGGUUGAUGGGGCAGGGUUUGACGCAAGCAGCAUGGGUCCACCUUCUGAGAAUGCCGGUAGCAAGAAACAUAGGUUUCCCAAUCUCAGAGGUUGGUUAACAAUGUUAUGCAAUUGCAAUCAUGAGAUUUGUACGGUUUGAUGUGUUUAAAAUUUGCAGUGUUUUGCGGGGCAGCCUGAGAUUGAGGGGGCUUUAGGCGGUUUAAAAAAAAUUUCAGCUAUAAUUUUUUUAUUGGUAAAUUUGGAAGUCUAAAAAAAAAAUUUUAGGUAUUUUUUUCUAUGUAAUUUUUUCCAAAAUUUUUGGGGGCCCAAAGCUAAUGUUUCGUUAGGCUUUGCCAUGACCGGCCCUGGUGUUUUGUAAACUAUGAUUAACUUAUGUUGAUAGUACUAUUUGGGUUGCUUUUUCAGGGGAAAGUAGCAAAUCGCUGGAGGCAUUGGCCAGUAUUUU